GGUCCAUAUGCUCUUUUGGGAAGGGUGCUUGUCUUCGGGACAAGAGGUAACCGGUUCGAUCCCGGUAUGGUCCGCCA
rnacentral:tRNA from 1 species